GAUGAAGAACGUAGUGAAAUGCGAUAAGUAAUGUGAAUUGCAGAAUUCAGUGAAUCAUCGAAUCUUUGAACGCACAUUGCGCCCCCUGGUAUUCCGGGGGGCAUGCCUGUUCGAGCGUCAUUUCACCACUCAAGCCUCGCUUGGUAUUGGGCAACGCGGUCCGCCGCGUGCCUCAAAUCGACCGGCUGGGUCUUCUGUCCCCUAAGCGUUGUGGAAACUAUUCGCUAAAGGGUGUUCGGGAGGCUACGCCGUAAAACAACCCCAUUUCUAAGGUUGACCUCGGAUCAGGUAGGGAUACCCGCUGAACUUAAGCAUAUCAAUAGGCGGAGGA
rnacentral:misc_RNA from 1 species